rnacentral:rRNA from 1 species
UACGUAGGGUGCAAGCGUUGUCCGGAAUCAUUGGGCGUAAAGCGCGUGUAGGCGGCUUGGUAAGUCCGUUCUGAAAGCCCGGGGCUCAACCCUCGGAUGCCGGUGGAUACUGUCGGGCUCGAGUACGGAAGAGGCGAGUGGAAUUCCUGGUGUAGCGGUGAAAUGCGCAGAUAUCAGGAGGAACACCGGUGGCGAAGGCGGGUCUCUGGACAGUUCCUGACGCUGAAGCACGAAGGCCGGGGAGGCAAAACGGGG